AUACGUAGGUGGCAAGCGUUGUCCGGAAUUAUUGGGCGUAAAGCGCGCGCAGGCGGUCCUUUAAGUCUGAUGUGAAAGCCCACGGCUCAACCGUGGAGGGUCAUUGGAAACUGGGGGACUUGAGUGCAGAAGAGGAAAGUGGAAUUCCAAGUGUAGCGGUGAAAUGCGUAGAGAUUUGGAGGAACACCAGUGGCGAAGGCGACUUUCUGGUCUGUAACUGACGCUGAGGCGCGAAAGCGUGGGGAGAAAACAGGAUUAGAUACCCUGGUAGUCCACGCCGUAAACGAUGAGUGCUAAGUGUUAGGGGGUCUCCGCCCCUUAGUGCUGCAGCUAACGCAUUAAGCACCCCGCCUGGGGAGUACGGUCGCAAGACUGAAACUUAAAGGAAUUGACGGG
rnacentral:rRNA from 1 species